UAGAGUUUGAUUCUGGCUCAGGACGAACGCUGGCGGCGUGCUUAACACAUGCAAGUCGAGCGGUAAGGCCCUUUCGGGGGUACACGAGCGGCGAACGGGUGAGUAACACGUGGGUGACCUGCCCUCAGCUCUGGGAUAAGCCCGGGAAACUGGGUCUAAUACUGGAUAUGACUCCAUGACGCAUGUUGUGGGGUGGAAAGCCUUGUGCGGCUGAGGAUGGGCCCGCGGCCUAUCAGCUUGUUGGUGGGGUGAUGGCCUACCAAGGCGACGACGGGUAGCCGGCCUGAGAGGGCGACCGGCCACACUGGGACUGAGACACGGCCCAGACUCCUACGGGAGGCAGCAGUGGGGAAUCUUGCGCAAUGGGCGAAAGCCUGACGCAGCGACGCCGCGUGAGGGAUGACGGCCUUCGGGUUGUAAACCUCUUUCAGCUCCGACGAAGCGGAAGUGACGGUAGGAGCAGAAGAAGCACCGGCCAACUACGUGCCAGCAGUCGCGGUAAUACGUAGGGUGCAAGCGUUGUCCGGAAUUAUUGGGCGUAAAGAGCUCGUAGGCGGUCUGUCGCGUCGGCUGUGAAAACUCGGGGCUCAACUCCGAGCUUGCAGUCGAUACGGGCAGGCUAGAGUUCGGCAGGGGAGACUGGAAUUCCUGGUGUAGCGGUGAAAUGCGCAGAUAUCAGGAGGAACACCGGUGGCGAAGGCGGGUCUCUGGGCCGAUACUGACGCUGAGGAGCGAAAGCGUGGGGAGCGAACAGGAUUAGAUACCCUGGUAGUCCACGCCGUAAACGUUGGGCGCUAGGUGUGGGAUCCCUUCCACGGGUUCCGUGCCGCAGCUAACGCAUUAAGCGCCCCGCCUGGGGAGUACGGCCGCAAGGCUAAAACUCAAAUGAAUUGACGGGG
rnacentral:rRNA from 1 species